rnacentral:lncRNA from 1 species
AGGAUGAACUCAAUCGUCACAUGAUUGAUUUUAGGACAUAUCCAACAACUUCCAUUGGGACUAAAGCCAAUCAGGACAGUAUCUUAUACCCAUCUUUCAUUUGAAAUCAUCGAACUCUUUAAUCUCGAGAGCUUUAGUGAAGAGAUCGGCUAGGUUCUCCUUUCUGUCGAUCUUCUGAAGUUCGACGUUACCACAGUUCACGAUCUCUCGCACUAGGUG